AGCUCCAAUAGCGUAUAUUAAAGUUGUUGCGGUUAAAAAGCUCGUAGUUGGAUCUCGGCAGGCAGGGGGUGGUUCGCUCCUUAGCGCUACUGCCCCAUUUGCCUGUGUGAUUGGCGGAGGUUUCGGGGUGCCCUUUAUUGAGUGACCCGGGGCGCCGUCAGGUUUACUUUGAAAAAAUUAGAGUGCUCAAAGCAGGCUUUUCACGCUUGAAUAUUCGUGCAUGGAAUAAUGGAAUAGGAACUCGUUUCUAUUUUGUUGGUUUUCGGAAAUCGAGUUAAUGAUUAAUAGGGACAAUUGGGGGCAUUAGUAUUCAGACGACAGAGGUGAAAUUCUUGGACCGUCUGAAGACUAACUACUGCGAAAGCAUUUGCCAAGAGUGUUU
rnacentral:rRNA from 1 species